AAUAUGGACUGGCCAGAAGUCACCCAUUGUGUUUCAUCUGCAGGCUGGUUGAGAGUUGCCUGCUCGGCACAUCUUCCUAUUACAACUGAAACCUGGAGCUGAACAGAAAACCCUCGUAAGAUAGCAUCAGGCAUCCGCCACGGUCCGCGACAUUCUGUACAGUAUGCAGCUGAUUUCUCAGCCCAUUUGGGUUGUCCUAACAAUCAGUACUUUAUGCCUGAAAGGACCCAAGACAACCAUCGCCUUCACUCUCUGCUGCCCAUCCGAGUGACCCAAGCAUAUUGCCAGAGGCUCCUUGGACCUUUCAAGCCCACCAGGAUAAGGCAAGAAGCCAAGAGGGUUCCUCCCAGCCGUAUAUAAUGGAUAUCUUGAACCCGGCUCCUCAGACUGAACAGCGUGUUCCUGCCUGCCCUGGAAACCUGCAGUUCCUCAGCUGCUAGCCUUUGAAAGCUGUCUCUCCAUACAAAAGGCAUUCCAAUGGAGCAGAGCUUGUUUCUUGGUAAUCGAAGGCCACGUCUGCUUCAGGUCUGGCUACUUACAUUCUGUGUUCUGCUUUGCCUCAGGACUGGAGAUGCUGUGAAAUGCAGACUAUGCAGGUCAUUUCGUUCUGGCAUGCCAUGUGUACCAAAUGAUGUCACAUGUGACGGGUCAUUCUGUGUAAUGGCAGAAAGAGUUAAAGAUCCAAGAAAUAAGUUGCAGAUCAAAUUUUGUGGCGAAGGUCAUUAUGAAAAAUUCUGCGGACUAGAAGAGACAACAGAAGAUAAAGUUAAAAUACAAUGCUGUGAUACUGACAUGUGUUUUGACUGAUUUUACUGUUCUAUUCUUAUAUUGUUUUAACCCAUCCAGAAACCUCAUGGUAAAGGGUGGGCAGCCAAUCUUUCUCCUUCUCUUUCACUUUCUCCUUUGAAAGACAUAAUAUUAGAACAUUUCAUACCCUUUGCUUUUGACAGAUGUCUGGUCUUCCUCCUGCCAUUACAAUUCAAAUGACAGAGCAAACACAGAAAAGCAACAAAACCCAAUUGUCACAACUUUGGUGGUUUAGGCAUUGGGUAAGCUUAGCCUUGGUUGGAGGGGGGGUUGUCCCCUGGCCUUCCACUCAAGAAAUAGGGUAUGCUGUUAAAGGGGUCCAUGAUGGAGUUGCGUCUGUCCAUUUGCCCAGAUGGGGGGAAGGGCUCUGGCCUCAGCGUUCCUAGGGGUGGGGAUCCCUGCAGGUAUCCCCCUAUUUGAUGUAAGUCAUGGGACUCCCCACUGCCGGGUUGACCCUGAUGUCAUUUCCGGUAGGAGAAUAUAAAAAUAUAUAAAACCAUCCAGCAUUGAAAACUUCUUGAUACAGGACUGCCUUCAAAUGUCUCAAGGUCAGUCCUUAAUUGCCUUUUUAGAGUAUCCCAUCCCAUACUCACAGUCAAGAUGGUUAGGGGGGAGGCUGGAGCCACUUCCAUCCAGACUCUGCUAGGUCAUUGUCCAUCAGAUUCUCAAUUCAUCUCUUCCUGGAGCUCAUGGAACCCUGUUCUUCCCAACCCCUCCUUGGUUGGAGAGCUCAAAUGUUUUCUGUUCUCUUUCUUGAACAUUGCAAUGUAACUGGAAUGUAGGAAAGCUUUUUAAGUAGUUUGGACUGGUGGCAGUUCUAGGUGGCCAAUCAAGAUAGAGUUCAAUAAUAAUAGUUAAAAUUACUGCUACUUUUGCAUGCAGA